rnacentral:lncRNA from 1 species
GGGGGAUACUGUGUGUCAUAUUCAGAAAAUAUCAUGGGGUAGGGAAGAACCUACUCAAGAAGCUGACAGAUAGGGCACCAAUAUCUUCUUCUGGGUGACUGCCUUCUGGGACAGAACAUAUUGCUGUUUUCUCCCAGUCAGCUGAGCUAAAGAAGGUGCCAGAACAGCAGCUGUGUAGUAGUGAAGAGCAAGCCACCCAGUCUUCUAUGGAAACACAGUACUCAAUGAAUGUGACAGAUGGCAGCAGAGGGGCAGUCUGACACAACGGCCUCUGAUGUGGAAGUGUGGAUCAAGUAAAGGUGUGUCACUGAAUUCCUUCAUGCAGAAAAAAUUGCACAGGUGUGCCUGCUGAGCAUUGAUGGAGACCAACCAGUGGAUGUGAGCACAGUUAGGCAGUGGGUGGUAGGCAUUUCAGCAGUGGAGACAGCGGGUUACUUCCACUGGUGCAGACUGUUAUGUGUGGCUCUUUUUCAUCACUGUUGAAAAUGCAACGCUCAUGGUGGUCACAGCUGAAAAAUCGUGUUUUGUAUUUAAGAAUUUGCUCUAUCAAACUGUGUUAUUGUGCCCUUUGUAUCCACUGUAGUUUCCGUGGAAAUAAAUAGAAGGCAUUAUGUGUGGAGCAACCUACAUACAUUCUGCUGGAUCUGGAAGUCCAAGAGAGGCAAGGCCUCUGCAACGCUGCACGCCUAGGUGCCUCCAGUAGUGAGCCUGAAAAUGUAUGUCCAGGAGGUACCUGCACACAGAGCACAUAGAUAUAUAUAUACCAGAUGCAUACACAUGCAUACAUCCAACUGGCCUCAUGAAUCCCGAACCAUCAAAUGAACAGAGCACCAAUGGCCUCACCUUUUCCCCUUCCUGGUGGAGUGAGUCCUUCACUGGGAGUGUAUAUCCUGUAUAUGAGAUGGAUCCAUUCAGCAGCUGGUCUUGUGCUCCCCAGCUUAUGGCACUUGGACACAUGAAGGCUCCGGGGAGACGUUAUAGUGGCAUUUGCAGUGCUUACAGAGCACCUACAGGAGAGAUGAAGAGGGGAUUCUUCAUCAAGGGUUGCAGUGACAGGACAAGGGCUAAUGGUUUUCAGCUAAAUGAGGAUAGGUUAAAGUUAGAUAUAAGAAAUAAAUUCUUCAUAAUGAGGGUGAUGAGGUCCUGGCAUAGGAUCCCCAGAGAAGCUGUGGAUGUCCCAUCUCUUGAAGUGCUCAAGGCCAGCUUAGAUGUGGCCCUGGGCAAUUUGACCUAGUGGAAGGUGUCCACACACAUGGCAGCAGAGUGGGAACUAGAUGGUCUUUAAAAUUGCAUCCAAUAAAAACAAUUCAAUGAUUCUGUGAUUCUAAAUGCAGAGCAGGGCCAGAAAAGUGCAUUCAACAGUGCUUGCUUAAAUACAAAUUAAUCCUUUUAUUUCCUUGUGUCUCUGUUUCCCCCAUUUUUCCCUACCCAAAUGACCUAAAUCCCUCCUUUUUUUUUUUUCUUACCUUUGAUCCUGCCCCUAAACAUCCUACAGUAAAUCCUGUGCAAUCCCAACUGUCCUUCCCUGCAUCCCAUAAUGUGUCUCAUGCCAAGGCAGCAACUGUCUGAAGUCCAAGUUGUUUCAGAGAACUGCUCCCAGUGUCUCACAGUGGUGAGUUUCACAACUGGAUGCCAGGGCUCUGGAUCUGCUGGCACAACCCUGGGAGGGUCCCAGACAGAAUGCCCCUUCCUGUGAGUCUUUGAGUCCCCCUAUCUGCCUUUGAUGGGUCUUUGAUGGGCUGGUGGCACCUGGGCCAGGGAGUGGUUUGGCAGGACUCCCCCCUCCUUAUUCCCUCUGAGGUUCAUUUGUAGGUCUGCAGACCAGCUUUUGUCAUAUACUGAGUUUAUCUUGUAACUAUACUGAGCUAAAAUUUAGUAAGACAAAAAAAAAAAAAUAGCUGCAUGAGACUAGAAGAGCCAUCCCAUCCUAAAUAUUUGCCUUCUGAGACAAAUUUGAUAUCCGGUCUGCUUUGGUUUUAAGUAUAUAUUAUAGCUCUGGCUAGUCUAUUACAGAUAUAAUUUACAUGUUAGGUCACUUCAUGUCCUAUCUGUCAGAACACACUAUCAUCACUACACAAAAGAUGUUUUCCUGUUUCUUUGAGAGAGUGCAGGAUGACAACAUCUCUUGAAUAAAUUUUGGUGGAUGAUAGAUAAUUUCAUCACCAAAAUUACAUCAAUUAUCAUCCUGUCUGCAUUUGUUAGUUUCGGGGGCGAGUUAGAGAGGAAAUGUGAUGAUGUUAUGUCAGUGGGUGUAAAAGCAGCUUUCAGUUCCUAAGCACUUCAUAAAAGUAAUGC